rnacentral:rRNA from 1 species
GUCCUAGCCGUAAACGUUGGGUGCUAGGUGUGGGUGGACAUCAACCCCAUCCGUGCCGAAGCUAACGCAUUAAGCACCCCGCCUGGGGAGUACGGCCGCAAGGCUAAAACUCAAAGGAAUUGACGGGGGCCCGCACAAGCGGCGGAGCAUGUGGCUUAAUUCGAUGCGACGCGAAGAACCUUACCUGGGCUUGACAUGCGGGGUGAAACCGUGGAAACACGGCGCUCUUCGGAGCCCGCACAGGUGGUGCAUGGCUGUCGU